CACCAAUCAAGCCUGGCUUGGUAUUGGGCGUCGGGGACCCUCCCCCGCGCCCCCAAUUCGUCGGCUGGACGGUUCGAAUCUCAGCGUUGUGGUCAAUCAAUUCGCUGGCGACGACGACCGGACGCGCCGUUAAACCUCACUACA
rnacentral:misc_RNA from 1 species